CUAGUUCCUGGCUAACCCAYAAAUGGGCAAAGAGGAGGAGCGCGUGUGGACGCUAGGCGUGCCGAGUGAAGACUGACAACUGAGCCACGCCCACAGAGCUCAUCGUUACCGGGUUAGCUCAGGCUAAGGAGCUAGGCUACAUGCUACCCGCUACUGCUAACCGGCUAGCGCUGCCKUGUUGUUGCUCCGGGAUGGUCGCGGUCGUAACAACGAACCGAACAGAGUACAUCAGUUUGGCUGAAAUCUGUGGUGCUUCCACCUGCUGAACACAGAAUGAACUGAAGCACUGCAGCACCUGAUGUCCUCAGAAUCUACUGGAGCUCGGCAGCUUCAGGCUGGUCAACAUGAGGCCGACCUGCACACGCUUCAUCUGCACAACACUUCAUGUGKUCCUCCCUCAACUAAACAUGACCUGCAACUGCUUAGAUUUGGCAGUCAUUGCAAAGUGUCAUGGAKAAUAUAGUAACAGUUAUCACAACAAUGUUCAUCUUUUACUUUCUGAUUUGAUAAACUUUAGAUAAAAACAGGGUUUUCUUUUCUUUUUUGCCAUAAGAGACAGAACACACUCAGCACAGCUGUGUCCCUCAGGUUCGUCCUUCCCUAAUAAAAUGACAGGAAACAYAAAAGUAUGGCAUUAUUGCAAAGAUAAGUGUUACUUUCAAACAAUGUUUGUGUCCUUAUAUUCUCUGGAUAUUCAACUAUGUAUCUGAAUAUGGUUUGGGAUUAAACACUGUACUACCAAGACAA